rnacentral:rRNA from 1 species
GACGAACGCUGGCGGCGUGCCUAAUACAUGCAAGUAGAACGCUGAAGAGAGGAGCUUGCUCUUCUUGGAUGAGUUGCGAACGGGUGAGUAACGCGUAGGUAACCUGCCUUGUAGCGGGGGAUAACUAUUGGAAACGAUAGCUAAUACCGCAUAACAAUGGAUGACACAUGUCAUUUAUUUGAAAGGGGCAAUUGCUCCACUACAAGAUGGACCUGCGUUGUAUUAGCCAGUAGGUGAGGUAAUGGCUCACCUAGGCGACGAUACAUAGCCGACCUGAGAGGGUGAUCGGCCACACUGGGACUGAGACACGGCCCAGACUCCUACGGGAGGCAGCAGUAGGGAAUCUUCGGCAAUGGGGGCAACCCUGACCGAGCAACGCCGCGUGAGUGAAGAAGGUUUUCGGAUCGUAAAGCUCUGUUGUAAGUCAAGAACGGGUGUGAGAGUGGAAAGUUCACACUGUGACGGUAGCUUACCAGAAAGGGACGGCUAACUACGUG